rnacentral:snRNA from 1 species
AUCGCUUCUCGGCCUUUUGGCUAAGAUCAAUAUCUGUUCUCUUAUCAUCUUAAUAUCUGAUACGUCCUGCAUCGCAGGACCAGAAUAUUAAACUGAUUUUUGGAAAAUGACGGAGUGCUAGGAGCUUGCUCCACCUCUGUCACGGGUUGGCCCGGUAUUGCAGUACCUCCGGAAUCGGCCCACCUUAA